ensembl:lncRNA
UGAGCCCAAGGUCAGGGGUUCAGUCCCCAUGUGGCCCAGUUGGCUUUGCUCUGUUUCAUGCUCACAGGAGGCGCCAUUGUUCUGUAAACACGCAGGCUGAGUCACAUGAGAGACCAAUGAGCAGACCAAGAACAGAUCAAUCAGUUCAAGCAGGAAAUCAACAUUAAGCUCUGGGCUCUGGUCAACAUACAAAUACCAGCAUUUGUGAAGAGACCUAUUAAACCAGCCAGGUCCUAGGAGAGGAAUCAGGGGGUGACGAUACCAGUUGAUCUGUACCAAUGGCGGAGAAAAGGAAGCUUCAAAAGUAGGUUCAACAGGGAAGAAACUUACUUAACAAGAACAAAGAACAGACAGCAAAUACUGAAGACUUAUGAGGUCAUCUUUGUCACUCAGGCACUAAAUACAGAGUUGAGUCCAUUGGAAAGGUGGCUGAGCAUGAUCAGCAUGAACAGGCCUAAGAUGGAGUCCAGGCCCUAUGAAUUCCUUCUUCAAGGGGACAACAGAGGAUGAGAUGGUUGGAUGGCAUCACCGAAUCAAUGAACAUGGGUUUGGGUGGACUCCAGGAGUUGUUGAUGGACAGGGAGGCCUGGCGUGCUGCAAUUCAUGGGGUCACAAAGAGUCGGACAUGACUGAGCGACUGAAAUGAACUGAACUGAACUGAAUGGGUGUAUAGUCUCAGUUCAUUGUGGUUUUAAUUUGCAUUUCUCUGAUGACUAAUGAUGUUGAGCAUCUUUCCAUGUGUUUGCUGACCAUUCAUCUAUCUUCCUUUGUGAAGUAUGUGUUUACAAUUUCUGUCCAUCUUUUUAAAACUGGGUUGUCUUGGGGGCUUUCAAAAAGUAGCUCAGUGGUAAAGAACCCACCUGUCAAUGCAGGAGACACAGGUUCAAUCCCUGGUCUGGGAAAAUCCCACAUGCCGUAGAGCAACUAAGCCCACGUGCCACAACUAUUGAGCCUGUGCUCUAGAGCCUGGGAGCACAACUGCUGAGCCCACGUCCCCAAGAGUCCAUGCUCAGCACCAAGAAAAGUCACCACAAUGAGAAGCCCCAGGAGCCCCUGCUCACUGCAACUAGAGAAAAAGUCCAUGCAGCAACAAAGACCCAGCACAACCAAAAAUUAGUGAAUAAGUAAAUUAAUUAAAAAUGGGUUGUCUUUUGCUUCAUGACAGGAAGGACUGAAUCGUCUCAUAGAUGCCACCCUGAUAUGCACAUGGCUCCUGGGGAGGGCGGAGAUGGACACCCCUGCUCUUUGCGUGUGUGUGCAUGUGUGUGUGUGUGUGUGUCCCAGGAGGCUAACCAUGCACUGGUCCUGCUGCUUCCUGCCUCUCCCCUGCCCCCAUCUCUCUGCAUUCCUCCGUGUCUCCCUUCUACCCUUUGGUGCUUGGGUGGUCCCGCUCCAGGCUUCCUUUUCAAGGGGAAGCUGAGAGAAGGACCAGAAUGAGUGAGUCUGAAAUAUUAGCAGUGUCUGCAAUAAUUCACAACUCAAUAAAUGCUGAUGAGGUUAAAAGAAAAACUGGGUCAUCUUUAUUACUGAAUUGUGGAGUUCUUUACAUCUUUGGGAUACAAAUCCUUUACUAGAUAAACAUUUGCCGCUGCCUACUUCCAGGCCAUAGAUGC